UGGGAUAAGCCCGGGAAACCGGGUCUAAUACCGGAUACGACUUCUCACCGCAUGGUGGGGGGUGGAAAGGUUUGUUCCGAUAGGGGAUGGGCUCGCGGCCUAUCAGCUUGUUGGUGGGGUGAUGGCCUACCAAGGCGAUGACGGGUAGCCGGCCUGAGAGGGCGACCGGCCACACUGGGACUGAGACACGGCCCAGACUCCUGCGGGAGGCAGCAGUGGGGAAUAUUGCGCAAUGGGCGGAAGCCUGACGCAGCGACGCCGCGUGGGGGAUGACGGCCUUCGGGUUGUAAACCUCUUUUACCACUCACGAAGGCUCCCAGUGUUCUGGGGGUUGAC
rnacentral:rRNA from 1 species